UACGUAGGGGGCAAGCGUUGUCCGGAUUUAUUGGGCGUAAAGAGCGUGUAGGCGGCCAGGUAGGUCCGCUGUGAAAACUCGAGGCUUAACCUCGAGCUGUCGGCGGAAACCAUCUGGCUAGAGUCCGGAAGAGGAGAAUGGAAUUCCCGGUGUAGCGGUGAAAUGCGCAGAUAUCGGGAAGAACACCCGUGGCGAAGGCGGUUCUCUGGGACGGUACUGACGCUGAGACGCGAAAGCGUGGGGAGCGAACAGG
rnacentral:rRNA from 1 species